CCCCUUCGGGGGGCACUCGAGUGGCGCACGGGUGAGUAACGCGUGGGUAAUCUGCCUUCGGGUCCGGGACAACCUCGGGAAACUGGGGCUAAUACCGGAUAAGACUACGAGCUCCUCGGAGCUUGCGGAAAAAGGUGGCCUCUCCUUGGAAGCUACCGCCUGUCGAUGAGCCCGCGUCCCAUUAGCUUGUUGGUGAGGUAACGGCUCACCAAGGCUUCGAUGGGUAGCUGGUCUGAGAGGAUGAUCAGCCACACUGGAACUGAGACACGGUCCAGACUCCUACGGGAGGCAGCAGUCGGGAAUUUUGGGCAAUGGGCGAAAGCCUGACCCAGCAACGCCGCGUGAGGGAUGAAGGCCUUCGGGUCGUAAACCUCUGUCGGGAGGGAAGAACGGUUGCCAGUCGAACAGGCUGGGAGCCUGACGGUACCUCCAAAGGAAGCACCGGCUAACUCCGUGCCAGCAGCCGCGGUAUUACGGAGGGUGCAAGCGUUGUUCGGAAUUAUUGGGCGUAAAGCGCGCGUAGGCGGCUUGGCAAGUCGGUUGUGAAAUCCCGGGGCCCAACCCCGGAAUUGCAGCCGAAACUGCCUCGCUAGAGUCCCGGAGAGGAAGGCAGAAUUCCCGGUGUAGGGGUGAAAUCCGUAGAUAUCGGGAGGAAUACCAGCGGCGAAGGCGGCCUUCUGGGCGGUGACUGACGCUGAGACGCGAAAGCGUGGGGAGCAAACAGGA
rnacentral:rRNA from 1 species